rnacentral:lncRNA from 1 species
ACUUACAUAAUAUUUGUGUUGUGUUCUAAUACUUGAAAUAUUAAUUAGUAUUCGAGGUAUAACCCGAAGUGGAUGGCGGUGGUUGGCGGUGGUUGCGGGUGAUCGUGGUGGACGAGGAGGAGCACAAACAGGAGGAGGAGAAUUUGUGCGCGUAUUCUAGGUAUAAUCCGAGGUCGUUAGCGGUGGUGGUCGGAGGUGGUUGGCGAUGAUUGAAGGUGAUCAAGGUCGACGAGGAGGAGGACGAGGAAGACGAGGAGAAUAUGGUGGACGAGGAGGACGAGGAUUUGUGCACGUAUUCGAGGUACAACCCGAGGUGGUUAUCAGUGGUCUUUGGAGUUGUUUGGUGGUGGUUGUUGGUGAUCGAGGUGGACGAAGAGGAGGACGAGGACGACGAGGAGAAUAUGGUGGACGAGGAGGAUGAGGAUUUGUGAACGUAUUUGAGGUCUAACCCGAGGUGGGUAGCGGUGGUCAUUGGAGGUGGUUGGCAGUGGUUGCAAGUGAUCGAGGUGGACGAGAAGGACUAGGAAGAGGAGGACGAGGAUUUGUGCACGGAUUCGAGUUGGACCUCGAGUUGGUUAGCGGUCGUCAUUGGAGGUGAUCGGAGGUGGUUAGGGGUAGCGGACCUGGGCGCGGAAACUACGCAGCGCUUUUCUUGGAAGUUGAGUUUCACUAGGUAGUGGAACUGGAGUGCAGAAACUAUGCAACGCUUGGUCAAGAGUCACCAGAUCAAGAACCUGGACAGCCAGAACCACGGACCGCUUGUCCAGGAAGUCGAGUUUCACCAGGUAGCGUACCUGGAGCGUAGGAAGUACUGAGCGCUUGUCCUGAAAGACGAGUUGCACCAGGAAGCCGACCCGGAGUGUAGGAUCCAGGAGGAAGAGAACCCGGUACUCGAAAUCUGCGAAGCGCGAUUCUCAUCCGUUCGCUCAACUGCGCCGUUGUUUCCAUACUGAUGAAUUCGGGUAGCUGAUAUUUCAAGAUAAAAAAUUUUGGGUGACGUCACUUUCUAAACAACCGAACUUUGGUUUCGUACUUGAAUACUACGUAUGAUGUAUGAUGAUGUAUGAUGUAUAAUGUAUGAUGUAUGAUCUAUGAUGUAUGAUAUGAUGUAUAAUGACUUAGUUUUAACGUUUCGGCCAAGGAAUACGCACUUUAUCUUUCCUGCCGAUUCCAGACUCAAGAGGCUAGGCCCUUCGAUGGUCAGCCUUUGACUAAAGACAUAUUCUUCAGUUAACGGGUCAGCUAAUAACGCUGCCGUUCUGCGACAGUUGGAUGAUAAAAAUUUUUGCUCGUACCUUUCAAAUGUGAAUUAAAAUACACUCAGAGUUUUAAAAAGCUUCGUUCUAUCUCUCCCUAUCAAAAAAAAAAUCCCAGACAAUCACCUUUUUAAGUCUUAGAAU